rnacentral:ncRNA from 1 species
GUAAAAGCGAAGAUUGGGAAAAGUAUGUUGCGCCCUUACAUUACAGAGAUUCUGCACCUUGACUGGAAGUGUGGAUAUGUAAACGCCUCAGAAGUUCACCCCGCGAGCUGCCUAACGGGACCAGUAGAAAUACUGUAAAGAUAGGCCGGUGAAGAGCCGUUAUGUAAACAAGUGAUUGCUAAUUUGCAAUAACUAGGGUGGUACCGCGAAUAAUGCCUCGUCCCUUUU